UUUGCACCCGAACCCAAAGAUCACGUCUCUGCAGCGGUGUGAUUUUUAUCCGGCGUGCAGACAGAAAGUUUGAGCCUUGUCGCCUUUCUCUGACCUGUUAGUGUCUCUGAAAGUGAAAUCAAGGUUCAACAAUU